rnacentral:rRNA from 1 species
GCAAGUCGAGCGCUUCCUUCGGGGAGGAGCGGCGGACGGGUGAGUAACGCGUGGGAACGUACCCUUCUCUGCGGAAUAGCCACUGGAAACGGUGAGUAAUACCGCAUACGCCCUUCGGGGGAAAGAUUUAUCGGGGAAGGAUCGGCCCGCGUUGGAUUAGGUAGUUGGUGGGGUAAAGGCCUACCAAGGCGACGAUCCAUAGCUGGUUUGAGAGGAUGAUC